UAACACGUAGGAGGCAAGCGUUAUCCGGAUUUACUGGGCGUAAAGCGCGUGCAGGUGGUUUGGUAAGUUGGAUGUGAAAUCUCCCGGCUCAACUGGGAGAGGUCGUUCAAAACUGCUAGACUAGAGGACGGUAGAGGAAGGUGGAAUUCCCGGUGUAGUGGUGAAAUGCGUAGAUAUCGGGAGGAACACCAGUGGCGAAAGCGACCUUCUGGCCCGUUCCUGACACUAAGACGCGAAAGCUAGGGUAGCAAACGGGAUUAGAGACCCCGGUAGUCCUAGCCGUAAACGAUGUCAACUAGGCGUUGGUGGGUUAAUAGCCAUCAGUGCCGCAGCUAACGCGAUAAGUUGACCGCCUGGGGACUACGAUCGCAAGAUUA
rnacentral:rRNA from 1 species